rnacentral:lncRNA from 1 species
UCUUAUAUUGCAGUGGCUUGCUUUUCCUACAAUUAUGAGUCACCUUGUUGUCCUCACAUGACAGUUUAUUUUCAUUAAUUUGUUUCCUUUUUUUCUUUGUCAUCAUUUUAAUGUUCUAAUCUUCAAAUGUAGCUUCCACAUCUGCUUGUAAUCCAUGAAAGACACAGAAUAAUGACCUUUCCUGUUAACUCUUUUAUCUUUGUUCAUUGUCUACUUCAUCUCCCAGAACCUUUACUGAUUGAAAGUUUGGUUGUUUACUCAUUCCCAGCAGUGAAUAGUCCACUUAGUUACUGGUGCUUGAAGUUGUGACACAGCGGAUUUCUAGAAUUGGUGAGCAAGAUUUACAAUUUAGAGUGAGGGAGAGCUGAGAAGGCUGAGAAAACAUUCCCAUCAUAUCUAGUCCCCAAAUGUAGAUCCCACAGGAAUGCAGGUCUACUUUCCUGUUGGGCCAUGUGGACAUGCUCAGAGGUCACUUCCUGAACCAGAGCAGACAACGAAACUACGUGUGACUGGAGGAGCAGGCCUUCAGACCACUUGCUCUAUGUGAGUUAUUAUCCCAUCACCCACAUGGAACUGGAGACAAGGGAAGGAACAGAGCAAGACAGGAAGCAUUGAUCAAUCCUGAUCCGCGUUUGUAGUGUGCUAAAAACAUUACUAAAUGCUAUGGUCCUUUCAACUCUUAUUGUAUGCAUGAGAAAUUGCCUACUGCUUUUCUUCUGAGAUGGUGGCAUGCUUAUUUUACUGAAAGAAAGCUCCCAACACUUCCAUUCACUCUACCUAUUAACUUUCAGGGAUACACACACGCACACACAUUAACUUUUUUUUUUUCUCAGAAGGAAUAAACAUUGCACACUGAGCUCUGGAUAAUAUGCUGAGUCCCUGAAAGCAAGACUAUACCCUAGAAAUGGAGUUCUGUUGAGCUGACAACUUCCUGACACUCCUGGUCAUAUGUAUCGCUGAAGUCAACUCCUGAGAAAGCAUCUGAUUGUUAAAGAAGAACCAUUCUCCUCUCCUUGCACAAUGCAUCAGCCUUGUUACUAUUGUUUACUGAGAGCAAUAUCAAAGUGUACGACUGUGAUGGGUAAACAUUGAAGACCAACAGUCAAUCAGCUUUGGUUUACAAAUUAGUCCUCCUCCAGGUUUGCCUUUUAAACAAAUUGGUACCUUAGGAAAUACCCUGAAAGUUUCAAACUCAACAGUUUUUCUUUGUAUAAAAAGGCAUUUGGCACUUUGACUAGCAAAAAAUCUUUAGAGGGAACACACUUCAGCUUUGAGGAAUUAAGAGUGUAACUUGGGGCCAUGGGCUCUCAAGACAAUUCCGUGAAGAGCCUGGCUUUGGGAACUGUAACUUCUGUCUUGAAAUAGCAGAUCUGGAAGCUUAGGAAGGGUUCUUUUAUUGCUUUUUGCUGGAUUUCUUAUCACUGAAAUUACUUGUAAAGCUGUUUGUUUAUAAUAACAUCAACUUGCAUCAGCUGUUCUAAGGGGAAAUAAGGAAGCAGAAAAUUGCAUAUCUUUGGGGAGUGAUAGAUAUUGGAGAAAGAAAAGCUUAAGAAGGAAGAAAAACAUCAGCAGAAAAGUGGCAAAGCCAGCCAAGGAGUCAUGCCAUCUUGCUGAAGUUUUCUGCUCAGGAGACCGCUUAGGCACCACAUUUACAUUAGAAGUUGUGUGCGCUGGAGAUAAUGAAUUCUGUGCGGCAUAUGCUUUAUUAAGGUCUGCUUUUCAGCUUUAAAAAUGUUUAAAGAUUAUUAUUCUUUAUUUAUCCUUUCUAAAACACCCCUAAGCACCUAAUAUGGGACAAGUAUUGAGCAAAUUACAGCAAAGAUUUAUGCUAAACUUCAAAUGGUACUCAUUGCUUUGGUUUUUCAUAGCUGCAGACUACGACAUACUUUAGCUGAUGUACUGUAUACUCUCUUCCCACUAUGAAUACCUGGUUGAAGACUGGAGAGAUGGUCCAGUUGUUAAAAGCAUAUCUUUACCCAGGACUGAUUCCCAGCGUCCACAUGAUGGCUCACAAUCAUCCAUAAUUUCAAUUCCGGGCAAUCCGAUGCCCUCUUCUGACCACUGGCACCAAGCACACUCACAGUGUGUGCCAAGGGCCAGCCUUGGCUUGGUUAGGGAAAUCCUGAGGAAGGAAUGUUUUGGAGUGGUGGAAGAAAAAAAAACCUCGAAUUCAGUGAUGAGUGUAAGCUGACAGCUCUGUAGUCUGCUCAAGACAGCUCUCUCUUGAUAGGAAAAAUUCUAAACACAUUCUGGAUAGUUCAUUUAUUUUCUGACCCAAGUCAGAAAGAGUGCUAAAAAAAAAAUUCUUGUGUUUUCUGACCAAAGUCAGAAAACUUGCUAGGAAAAUUCUACAAGAGCUCUGUUAGCUCUCUAAUUAGUUUUUUGGUUUUCCAAACAAAGUCAGAAAACUUCCCAGACAAAUUUCAAACAGGAACUACAAUAGCUUUCCAGACAGUUCAUCUUUUAUAGACCAAAGACUAGUCUUUGAUGUAUAUAUCAAUUCAGUCAUUUGCCCUAGGUUCCCUUUUGAUUAUCCCAUGAAUCAGCAUUUUAUGACCUUAGCCCCUUGAUUCUUGAAAUAUAACAGCAAAUACAUUGUUUUUAACAUAGCAAAUGAAUUCAGAAAUCUGUGUGCCUUUGUAAACAUAAAUAAUAAGCUAGCUGAGUGGAUCCCAAGAUCACCACUCUCACCAUUCCUGGACCUAAAGCUGCUCUAUUCCAGGCUGACCUUGAACUCAGAAUUCUAUCUGCUUUUGUAAGCAUAAACACUAAGUUUAUCUGGGUGGGAUCUUGGCCUGAGGUCACCUUUCCCUUAGUCUCUUUAUCUCCUUAAUAUUCUUCUGUUAGGGCUGCUCAGAGAAACCCUGUCUCAAAAACAACAACAACAACAACAACAACAACAAACAACAAAAUAUCCGUCUGACAAACCGGCUACCUCUGUUCUUUUAGGUUCAUGAAGGCCCUCAUAAAUUCAUGUUACAUCCUUAUAUUUUGCAUAGGUGCAAAAUUAUACACUCUUGAACCCAUUUUUCAGAGUUCUUUGCCAUAGCCUUAAGGUCUGUCUUGAAAGUCUCAGUGUCACAGAGACAAAUUCUCAUUUCCUAGGAUCGUUCUGUUCUUAAUUAUCAUGGAAUCAUUAACCUUGGCAGAAAAGACUUUCCCCCUGGUGGGGGAGCAUAUAUAUAUAUAUAUUAUGUAUGUGUGUGUGUAUAUAUAUAUAUAUAUAUAUACAUUUAUAUAUGUAUACAUAUGUGUGUAUAUGUGAAUAUAUAUGUGUGUACAUAUAUAUGUAAAUACUAUAUAGUAUACAACUUUAUAUAGAUAUAUAUAAAGUUAAAUAUAUGUAUUAUUAUACUGUCCAAACAAGCCUUACACCUAGCAACCAUCAACACUAAUGGAGGCCCACUCCCUGUUGGCUGCUACAGCAGGAACCUUGUGAUGUCUUCCUUUCCCUUCCCUUCCCUGCCUGGGCAGGACUCAGCAAGUGUGUAUACAUACAUCCAGGCAAAACACUGAUAC